rnacentral:rRNA from 1 species
AGGAUUCUCCUAGUAACGGCGAGUGAACGGAGAUUAGCCCAUCACCGAAGCCUGCGUGUGUUUGCAUGCUAGGCAAUGUGGUGUUUAAGCUUGUACCUGGGAUCGUGUGCCUACCCGAAGUCUAAAUCCGAUUGUGGCUUUGGAUUCAUUCCAUAGCGGGUGAAAGUCCCGUGCGGGUAGGACUAUUGCAAUCUACACGAUCCUCAGAUGUGCAUGCUUUCGAGUCGGAUUGCUUGAGAAUGCAGUCCAAAGUGGGUGGUAAACUCCAUCCAAGGCUAAAUACUGGCACGAGUCCGAUAGUAGACAAGUACCGUGAGGGAAAGUUGAAAAGUACUCUGAAGAGAGAGUAAAUAGUACGUGAAGCCGAUUGCAGGGAAGCUGGUGGAGUCAAGCUUCGUGCUUGAGGGAUUGAUGCUGAGAGCAGGUGUGUCAUUUGUAUGCGAGUUUGGUCAACUUGGAAUAAGUUGGGCGUGUUCUGAAUGCGCUUCAAGUCAUUCUGGGUAGACUGUUUGUGGCCAUGCUCGCUUUACUACUCUCAGUAUUGUAUUCCUCGCUGCACAGGCCACAGUCGAUACGUGCAUGCGGUAUGAAGGUCUAACUGUGCUUCGGCGGGUGCAAGCUCUCCGUGUGCAGGAUGGCAGGUGCUGUCUUCAGGCCUCGUGUCUGUUGGUAGUUGUUGUGGUUUCGACCGGCUGGUCUUCAUACUGUAUUGUGCAUAUUGCCUAUGAAUGGCGCUGCUUCUUCGGAAGUAGUGCUGUGAAGAACUGUGGCUCUGAGGUAGA